UACAGAGGGUGCGAGCGUUAAUCGGAAUUACUGGGCGUAAAGCGCACGUAGGUGGCGACGUAAGUCGGGUGUGAAAGCCCCGGGCUCAACCUGGGAAUUGCAUUCGAGACUGCAUUGCUGGAGUACGGAAGAGGAGGGCGGAAUUCCCGGUGUAGCGGUGAAAUGCGUAGAUAUCGUGAGGAACACCAGAGGCGAAGGCGGCUACCUGGACAAUUGCUGACACUCAGGCACGAAAGCGUGGGGAGCAAAAGGG
rnacentral:rRNA from 1 species